rnacentral:tRNA from 1 species
GGAGAGUUGGCUGAGUGGUCGAAGGCGCACGACUGGAAAUCGUGUAUGCGUUGAUAGCGCAUCUAGGGUUCAAAUCCCUAACUCUCCGCCA